GGGGCUGAUUCUGGAUUCGACGGGAUUUGCGAAACCCAAGGUGCAUGCCGAGGGGCGGUUGGCCUCGUAAAAAGCCGCAAAAAAUAGUCGCAAACGACGAAAACUACGCUUUAGCAGCUUAAUAACCUGCUUAGAGCCCUCUCUCCCUAGCCUGCUCUUAGAUCGGAUCAAGAGAGGUCAAACCCAAAAGAGAUCGCGUGGAAGCCCUGCCUGGGGUUGAAGCGUUAAAACUUAAUCAGGCUAGUUUGUUAGUGGCGUGUCCGUCCGCAGCUGGCAAGCGAAUGUAAAGACUGACUAAGCAUGUAGUACCGAGGAUGUAGGAAUUUCGGACGCGGGUUCAACUCCCGCCAGCUCCACCA
rnacentral:tmRNA from 1 species